UUUUAUUUGAGAGUUUGAUCCUGGCUCAGGAUGAACGCUGGCGGCGUGCCUAACACAUGCAAGUUGAGCGAUUUACUUCGGUAAAGAGCGGCGGACGGGUGAGUAACGCGUGGGUAACCUACCCUGUACACACGGAUAACAUACCGAAAGGUAUGCUAAUACGGGAUAAUAUAUUUGAGAGGCAUCUCUUGAAUAUCAAAGGUGAGCCAGUACAGGAUGGAC
rnacentral:rRNA from 1 species